rnacentral:rRNA from 1 species
GACGAACGCUGGCGGCGUGCUUAACAUAUGCAAGUCGAACGGGCCUGUCUUCUUUUUUGGGGGUGGGUUGAGUGGCGAACGGGUGAGUAUCACGUGAGUAACCUGCCCUUCGGUCCUGGAUAACCGCUUGAAAGGGCGGCUAAUACGGGGUGGUCCGGUUGGUCCGCAUGGGCUGGUCGGGAUAGAUUCACUGUUUUUGGUGUUUCGGCGGGGGAUGGGCUCGCGGCCUAUCAGCUUGUUGGUGGGGUGAUGGCCUACCAAGGCGGUGACGGGUAGCCGGCCUGAGAGGGUGGGCGGCCACACUGGGACUGAGAUACGGCCCAGACUCCUGCGGGAGGCAGCAGUGGGGGGUAUUGCACAAUGGGCGGAAGCCUGAUGCAGCGACGUCGCGUGAGGGAUGGAGGCCUUCGGGUUGUGAACCUCUGUUUCCGGUGGUGAAGGCCCUGUCCGUGUGGUGGGGUUGACGGUAGCCGGGGAUGAAGCGCCGGCUAACUACGUG